GGCUCAGGAUUCUAUUUGCGUGUAAUACGAGAAUCCACGUCGGUUUUUCUACUGUCUGGUGCAGAAGCGCCAGUGCAUUCAACCCAGUUUUUCAUCUGAAACUGGUAAGACCUCGACGCCAGGUGAGAGAAGCGUAUUCCAUGUGUAGCCGUGAAAUGAGUAGCUUAUAUGGUAGUACUCUGGUGGUGAAAGGGGGUCUGUUGGCCUGUAAUUGACAUUGAGGCUCGAAAGCGUGGGGAGCAAACAGGAUUAGAUACCGCCCGUAGUUCACGCAGUCAGCGAUGAGUGCUAGAUGUAGGUAGGUACAUGUUCUUUGUAUAGCAGGCAAUGCAAUUACCACUCCCUCCUGCGGGAGUGCGACCGCAUCGUAGGUAUUCAAAGGAAGUUGACGGGGGCCCGCCCCCACAGGCGGAGCAGCUUGUUUUUUUUUUUAGAAACGCGAAGAACAUCCUCACCUGGUUUUGACAUACUGGUGUUCUUCGUGGAGAUAAGAAGUUCCUGCGCGACACGGGAUACAGGUGGUGCAUGGUUGUCGUCAGCUCGUGUCGUGAGAUGUUGGGUUAAGUCCCGCAACGAGCGCAACCCCUAUUGUUAGUUGCCAUCAUUAAGUUGGGCACUCUAACGAGACUGCCGGUGAUAAACCGGAGGAAGGUGGGGAUGACGUCAAAUCAUCAUGCCCCUUAUGACCUGGGCUACACACGUGCUACAAUGGAUGGUACAACGAGUCGCGAGACAGUGAUGUUUAGCUAAUCUCUUAAAACCAUUCUCAGUUCGGAUUGUAGGCUGCAACUCGCCUACAUGAAGUCGGAAUCGCUAGUAAUCGCGGAUCAGCACGCCGCGGUGAAUACGUUCCCGGGCCUUGUACACACCGCCCGUCACACCACGGGAGUUGGGAGUACCCGAAGUAGGUUGCCUAACCGCAAGGAGGGCGCUUCCUAAGGUAAGACCGAUGACUGGGGUGAAGUCGUAA
rnacentral:rRNA from 1 species